rnacentral:lncRNA from 1 species
UCAUUGGCAUGAACCUCUAGUUAAUGACGUAGUAGCUGCAAAAUGCCCAGAUCACAGCUACAGUGUGAGGAAAUAAGCGGAAAUCGAAGUUGUUAGCCAAACAACCUGCAACUCUGAUACGUUGUUCCCUUUGUUAUCACAUUCAGGACACCAGGCAUUCCAGUAAAGCCCCCAGUACUGUCCCAUCUGGAGCUGGAUGCCAGUGCUCAGGUGGCUGUGCUGUACAUGUGAAAUGAGACAAAUUGCUUUCCUUUAGUAUAGUGAGUUCCAGCAGCAUUUGUAAAGAGAUACUUUUCAAGGCACACAAAAGGGGGCCAGAUAUCACAGUUCUAUUGAUUGACCACAAGUAUUUAAGCAACGAACUCCUCCUUUGCACUUUGAGGGAGUAUAAAGGAACACUGAACUCCCCUAGUAAUUCAUCUAGCUGAAAAUAAUAAAGCUAUUUUACAAAUGAACACCAGAGCGUUCUCAAAGUCAUCGAUAAGAGCUCUCCAUCUGGGACAUUCAUUGGAAAAUAUUCCCAACCACAGACAAGAGCCUUUUAAGACUCAUCUUUAUAGUCAGAGAGAAAAAGCCCACGCUGCUAUCAGACUGCAGAGGGACCCCCAAUGGACAGUUAUCCGGAUGGGCUCCGGCUCUCUGUGAAGUUGUCUCCUGCAAGACCUGCUAAAGCUUUUUUGCAGUCGUGAGCCCAGGCUGCAGGAAGCUAAUCCUUGUCAUCACCUUUGUGACUCACCUUGCAGUUUCAAUUGGACGAGUUAUUCCUCACAUCUCCUCUUCAGAAAAAUAAACCGCCGUGUUGAGUUGUUAGCACAGAAUGGCUGCCACGUUCCAGCCUGGGCAGCUGUGUUGCAGUGGUGAGUCAUCAAAUUGAAUGUACAGGCACGAUGGAUAAAUUUGCAAAGAAGCCUACGCCUUAUUUAUUUCACUGGAGUUAAAUAUCCAAACCAUUUACGUUCUGCUGGAAGUCCUAAUCAAUGCUCUGAUUACCUUUGAUAAGCUUUAGGAAACCCCUCCAGCUGUGUGCUGUGUGCUGCAGAAACUUCAGGUCUGAAAAACCAUCAGCUGUUGAGCAAUAACGCUAACUGCCACAUCAUUUGCAGUGCCAGUGUGUUUUGGAACAGGGGAAGAACUGUAGAUAUAAAAUCUUGGUUUGACCUCCGAGCAAUGAAAACGUUCAGAAUAA